rnacentral:rRNA from 1 species
UACGGGGGGAGCAAGCGUUGUUCGGAUUUACUGGGCGUAAAGGGCGCGUAGGCGGCCAGCACAAGUCAGUUGUGAAAUCUCCGGGCUUAACUCGGAAAGGUCAACUGAUACUGUGCGGCUAGAGUGCGGAAGGGGCAACUGGAAUUCUCGGUGUAGCGGUGAAAUGCGUAGAUAUCGAGAGGAACACCUGCGGCGAAGGCGGGUUGCUGGGCCGACACUGACGCUGAGGCGCGAAAGCCAGGGGAGCGAACGGGG